rfam:Dipodomys ordii contig_60997, whole genome shotgun sequence.
GGGAAGGAAGCUCAGUGGUAGAGUGCUUGCCUUGCAUGCAUGAAGCCCUGGGUUUGAUUCCUCAGCACCCA